UACGUAGGGUGCAAGCGUUGUCCGGAAUUAUUGGGCGUAAAGCGCGCGUAGGUGGUUCCUUAAGUCUGAUGUGAAAGCCCACGGCUCAACCGUGGAGGGUCAUUGGAAACUGGGGAACUUGAGUGCAGAAGAGGAAAGUGGAAUUCCAAGUGUAGCGGUGAAAUGCGUAGAGAUUUGGAGGAACACCAGUGGCGAAGGCGACUUUCUGGUCUGUAACUGACACUGAGGCGCGAAAGCGUGGGGAGCAAACAGG
rnacentral:rRNA from 1 species